GGCUCUCUGCUUACAUAAAUAUAGAGAGUCGGGCCUGCCCAGUGAAUUUUUAAACGGCCGCGGUACUCUGACCGUGCAAAGGUAGCAUAAUCAUUUGCCUUAUAAUUGAAGGCUAGUAUGAAUGGUUUGACGAGAACAAUACUGUCUCCUUUUUAUUUUCAAGAACUUAACUUUUAGGUGAAGAGGCCUAAAUUUUAUUGAAGGACAAGAAGACCCUAUCGAGCUUAAAAGACAUUAUAGAAGUUUAUAUAUUUUUAAAUAAAUUUUCUAUUUAGCUUUUUAGUUGGGGCGACUAAGGAACAAAAAAAGCUUCUUGCUGAUAAUAAGCAGUCAUGUUUAGAUCCGAUAAUAAUCGAUCAAAGAAAUUAGUUACCGUAGGGAUAACAGCAUAAUCUCUCUUGAGAGACCUAAUCGAAAGAGGGGGUUGUGACCUCGAUGUUGGACUAGAAUAUCCUAAAGAUGCAGAAGUCUUUGAGGGUCGGUCUGUUCGACCGUUAAAAUUCU
rnacentral:rRNA from 1 species